rnacentral:rRNA from 1 species
GAUGAACGCUGGCGGCGUGCCUAAUACAUGCAAGUCGAGCGAACGGACGAGAAGCUUGCUUCUCUGAUGUUAGCGGCGGACGGGUGAGUAACACGUGGAUAACCUACCUAUAAGACUGGGAUAACUUCGGGAAACCGGAGCUAAUACCGGAUAAUAUUUUGAACCGCAUGGUUCAAAAGUGAAAGACGGUCUUGCUGUCACUUAUAGAUGGAUCCGCGCUGCAUUAGCUAGUUGGUAAGGUAACGGCUUACCAAGGCAACGAUGCAUAGCCGACCUGAGAGGGUGAUCGGCCACACUGGAACUGAGACACGGUCCAGACUCCUACGGGAGGCAGCAGUAGGGAAUCUUCCGCAAUGGGCGAAAGCCUGACGGAGCAACGCCGCGUGAGUGAUGAAGGUCUUCGGAUCGUAAAACUCUGUUAUUAGGGAAGAACAUAUGUGUGAGUAACUGUGCACAUCUUGACGGUACCUAAUCAGAAAGCCACGGCUAACUACGUGCCAGCAGCCGCGGUAAUACGUAGGUGGCAAGCGUUAUCCGGAAUUAUUGGGCGUAAAGCGCGCGUAGGCGGUUUUUUAAGUCUGAUGUGAAAGCCCACGGCCCAACCGUGGAGGGUCAUUGGAAACUGGAAAACUUGAGUGCAGAAGAGGAAAGUGGAAUUCCAUGUGUAGCGGUGAAAUGCGCAGAGAUAUGGAGGAACACCAGUGGCGAAGGCGACUUUCUGGUCUGUAACUGACGCUGAUGUGCGAAAGCGUGGGGAUCAAACAGGAUUAGAUACCCUGGUAGUCCACGCCGUAAACGAUGAGUGCUAAGUGUUAGGGGGUUUCCGCCCCUUAGUGCUGCAGCUAACGCAUUAAGCACUCCGCCUGGGGAGUACGACCGCAAGGUUGAAACUCAAAGGAAUUGACGGGGACCCGCACAAGCGGUGGAGCAUGUGGUUUAAUUCGAAGCAACGCGAAGAACCUUACCAAAUCUUGACAUCCUUUGACAACUCUAGAGAUAGAGCCUUCCCCUUCGGGGGACAAAGUGACAGGUGGUGCAUGGUUGUCGUCAGCUCGUGUCGUGAGAUGUUGGGUUAAGUCCCGCAACGAGCGCAACCCUUAAGCUUAGUUGCCAUCAUUAAGUUGGGCACUCUAAGUUGACUGCCGGUGACAAACCGGAGGAAGGUGGGGAUGACGUCAAAUCAUCAUGCCCCUUAUGAUUUGGGCUACACACGUGCUACAAUGGACAAUACAAAGGGCAGCGAAACCGCGAGGUCAAGCAAAUCCCAUAAAGUUGUUCUCAGUUCGGAUUGUAGUCUGCAACUCGACUACAUGAAGCUGGAAUCGCUAGUAAUCGUAGAUCAGCAUGCUACGGUGAAUACGUUCCCGGGUCU